rnacentral:rRNA from 1 species
UACAGAGGUCUCAAGCGUUGUUCGGAUUCAUUGGGCGUAAAGCGCGCGUAGGCGGCCAGAUAAGUCCGGUGUGAAAGCCACAGGCUCAACCUGUGAAUGCCGCUGGAAAUUGUCUGGCUAGAGUCCGGGAGGGGCGAGUGGAAUUCCUGGUGUAGCGGUGAAAUGCGCAGAUAUCAGGAGGAACACCAAUGGCGAAGGCAGCUCGCUGGAACGGAACUGACGCUGAGGCGCGAAAGCGUGGGGAGCGAACAGG